AGUGAACGCUGGCGGCAGGCCUAACACAUGCAAGUCGAACGGCAGCACAGUAAGAGCUUGCUCUUACGGGUGGCGAGUGGCGGACGGGUGAGGAAUACAUCGGAAUCUACUUUUUCGUGGGGGAUAACGUAGGGAAACUUACGCUAAUACCGCAUACGACCUACGGGUGAAAGCAGGGGAUCUUCGGAUCUUGCGCGAUUGAAUGAGCCGAUGUCGGAUUAGCUAGUUGGCGGGGUAAAGGCCCACCAAGGCGACGAUCCGUAGCUGGUCUGAGAGGAUGAUCAGCCACACUGGAACUGAGACACGGUCCAGACUCCUACGGGAGGCAGCAGUGGGGAAUGUUGGACAAUGGGCGCAAGCCUGAUCCAGCCAUACCGCGUGUGUGAAGAAGGCCUUCGGGUUGUAAAGCCCUUUUGUUGGGAAAGAAAAGCAGCAGGUUAAUACCCCGCGGUUCUGACGGUACCCAAAGAAUAAGCACCGGCUAACUUCGUG
rnacentral:rRNA from 1 species